rnacentral:rRNA from 1 species
GCCUAAACCUAGCCCAACCACACACAGCCAAUUGCCUAAAAAAUCCAUCUCAACCGUAGAACUAAAGCAUUAUCUAAACUUAGUAUAGGCGAUAGAAAAGUAACCCAUUGGCGCAAUAGAAAGCUGUACCGUAAGGGACAGAUGAAAUAAUAAUGAAAAAUUUAAGCGAUAAACAGCAAAGAUAAACCCUUGUACCUUUUGCAUCAUGAUUUAGCAAGAACAACCAAGCAAAGCGAACUUAAGCUUGCCCUCCCGAAACCCAAGCGAGCUACUCACAGGCAGCUAUUUUGAGCGAACCCGUCUCUGUUGCAAAAGAGUGGGACGACCGGUUAGUAGAGGUGAAAAGCCAAUCGAGCUGGGUGAUAGCUGGUUGCCCGUGAAAUGAAUCUAAGUUCUGCCUUAGCAAUUUCUUUUUUCCCCCCCGAACAUUAACAAUCACUCUUAACGUGGUAAAGCUAAGUAAUCUAAAGGAGGUACAGCUCCUUUAAAAAAGAAUACAACCUCUCCUAGCGGAUAAACCUCUUCCCCUUAAUCCUGUAGGCCUUAAAGCAGCCAUCAAUAAAGAAUGCGUCAAAGCUCACUCACCUAAAAAUCCAAAAACACUAUGACUCCCUCACUCCUAACGGGCUAACCUAUGAUCUAUAGGAGAAUUAAUGCUAAAAUAAGUAACUUGGAACCCAUCCUCUCAAGCGCAAACUUACACCCACAAUUAUUAACAGACUAGCUAAUACUGCAACCUAACAAGCCCAAGUAUUAACCUUAUUCCGUUACCCCAACACUGGAGCGCUCAUUAAGAAAGAUUAAAAUCUGUAAAAGGAACUAGGCAAACUCAGGGCCCGACUGUUUACCAAAAACAUAGCCUUCAGCCGACCAAGUAUUGAAGGUGAUGCCUGCCCAGUGACAUAUGUUCAACGGCCGCGGUAUCCUAACCGUGCAAAGGUAGCGCAAUCAAUUGUCCCAUAAAUCGAGACUUGUAUGAACGGCUAAACGAGGUCCUAACUGUCUCUUACAGAUAAUCAGUGAAAUUGAUCCCUCUGUGCAAAAGCAGAAAUAAACACAUAAGACGAGAAGACCCUGUGGAACUUUAAAAAUCAGCGACCACUUUACAGAACACAUCAACCCUAAUAGGCCUACCUACCCCACAAACACUGGUCCGCAUUUUUCGGUUGGGGCGACCUUGGAGAAAAACGAAUCCUCCAAAAACAAGACCACACCUCUUAACCAAGAGUGACACCUCCACGUGCUAACAGCAACCAGACCCAAUACAAUUGAUUAAUGAACCAAGCUACCCCAGGGAUAACAGCGCAAUCUCCUCCAAGAGCCCAUAUCGACAAGGAGGUUUACGACCUCGAUGUUGGAUCAGGACAUCCUAAUGGUGCAGCCGCUAUUAAGGGUUCGUUUGUUCAACGAUUAACAGUCCUACGUGAUCUGAGUUCAGACCGGAGUAAUCCAGGUCGGUUUCUAUCUAUGACGAACUUGCCCUAGUACGAAAGGACCGGGAAAGUGAGGCCAAUACCACAAGCACGCCUCCCCCCAAUUAAUGAACCCAACUAAAUUACCAAAAGGACACCCACCCAUACCCAAAAUAAGGGUCA